rnacentral:misc_RNA from 1 species
ACAAACUUGGUCAUUUAGAGGAAGUAAAAGUCGUAACAAGGUUUCCGUAGGUGAACCUGCGGAAGGAUCAUUCAAAAUAAAAGUGAAAUUUUUUAUGGCACUUUUAAAACAAUCCAUAUCCACCUUGUGUGCAAUGUUUUUUGAAAAAAAAAGAGUCUUUUUCUCUUUUUUUUUCUUUUAACUAUUAUAAACUCAUUUUUAUAAGAAAUCUCGUCUGAUAAUAAUAUUAUUGAAUAACUUAAUUCAUAAAUAUAACUUUCAACAACGGAUCUCUUGGCUCUCGCAUCAAUGAAGAACGCAGC